GGCCGUGUGGCGUAAUGGCAGCGCGUCUGACUACGAUUCAUCGGUCAUCAGGAGGCUGCAGGUUCGACCCCUGCCUCGGUCA
rnacentral:tRNA from 1 species